rnacentral:rRNA from 1 species
UACGGAGGGUGCAAGCGUUGUCCGGAUUUAUUGGGUUUAAAGGGUGCGUAGGCGGCCUGGUAAGUCGGCGGUGAAAGCCCGGGGCUCAACCCCGGAACUGCCAUCGAUACUGUCAGGCUUGAGUACAGGCGAGGUUGGCGGAAUGGGCGGUGUAGCGGUGAAAUGCAUAGAUACCGUCCAGAACCCCGAUUGCGAAGGCAGCUGACUAGGCUGUAACUGACGCUGAGGCACGAAAGCGUGGGGGGCGAACAGG